CAACUACUCCCUCUGUCCCAAAGUUCUUGUCUUAGAUUUGUCUAGAUACAGAUGUAUCUAAUACUAAAAUGUGACUUGAUACAUCCGUAUCUAGACAAAUCUAAGACAAGAAUUUUGGGACGGAGGGAGUACUUU
rnacentral:pre_miRNA from 1 species